CCAGUGUUUCCCAAACUUUGGUCUCCAGCUGCUUUUGGACUACAGUUUCCAUCAUCCAUGACCCACUUGUCUUGCUAGCUAGGGAUGAUGGGAGUUGUAGUCCAACAACAGUUGGAGACCCAGGUUUGGGAAACACUGG